CCUGCCGCUGGAGGAUUUGUGGAUUUGAUUACUGUGUCACAUGUGCAUCAGUAAGUGGCAGAGGCAAGAAAUGCCAUGUCUAUGCUCAGUGUUCUGACAUAUGAACACUGAAUGAUUAGUAGCCCAACACU